rnacentral:rRNA from 1 species
UACAGAGGUCUCAAGCGUUGUUCGGAUUCAUUGGGCGUAAAGGGUGCGUAGGUGGCGCGCUAAGUCAGGUGUGAAAUUUCGGAGCUUAACUCCGAAACUGCAUUUGAUACUGGCGUGCUUGAGGACUGGAGAGGAGACUGGAAUUCACGGUGUAGCGGUGAAAUGCGUAGAUAUCGUAAGGAAGACCAGUGGCGAAGGCGGGUCUCUGGACAGUUCCUGACGCUGAGGCACGAAGGUCAGGGGAGCAAACGGG